GCAGCAGUGGGGAAUAUUGCACAAUGGGCGCAAGCCUGAUGCAGCCAUGCCGCGUGUGUGAAGAAGGCCUUCGGGUUGUAAAGCACUUUCAGUCGUGAGGAAGGUAGUGUAGUUAAUAGCUGCAUUAUUUGACGUUAGCGACAGAAGAAGCACCGGCUAACUCCGUGCCAGCAGCCGCGGUAAUACGGAGGGUGCGAGCGUUAAUCGGAAUUACUGGGCGUAAAGCGCAUGCAGGUGGUUUGUUAAGUCAGAUGUGAAAGCCCGGGGCUCAACCUCGGAAUUGCAUUUGAAACUGGCAGACUAGAGUACUGUAGAGGGGGGUAGAAUUUCAGGUGUAGCGGUGAAAUGCGUAGAGAUCUGAAGGAAUACCGGUGGCGAAGGCGGCCCCCUGGACAGAUACUGACACUCAGAUGCGAAAGCGUGGGGAGCAAACAGGAUUAGAUACCCUGGUAGUCCACGCCGUAAACGAUGUCUACUUGGAGGUUGUGGCCUUGAGCCGUGGCUUUCGGAGCUAACGCGUUAAGUAGACCGCCUGGGGAGUACGGUCGCAAGAUUAAAACUCAAAUGAAUUGACGGGGGCCCGCACAAGCGGUGGAGCAUGUGGUUUAAUUCGAUGCAACGCGAAGAACCUUACCUACUCUUGACAUCCAGAGAACUUUCCAGAGAUGGAUUGGUGCCUUCGGGAACUCUGAGACAGGUGCUGCAUGGCUGUCGUCAGCUCGUGUUGUGAAAUGUUGGGUUAAGUCCCGCAACGAGCGCAACCCUUAUCCUUGUUUGCCAGCGAGUAAUGUCGGGAACUCCAGGGAGACUGCCGGUGAUAAACCGGAGGAAGGUGGGGACGACGUCAAGUCAUCAUGGCCCUUACGAGUAGGGCUACACACGUGCUACAAUGGCGCAUACAGAGGGCAGCCAACUUGCGAAAGUGAGCGAAUCCCAAAAAGUGCGUCGUAGUCCGGAUUGGAGUCUGCAACUCGACUCCAUGAAGUCGGAAUCGCUAGUAAUCGUGGAUCAGAAUGCCACGGUGAAUACGUUCCCGGGCCUUGUACACACCGCCCGUCACACCAUGGGAGUGGGCUGCAAAAGAAGUAGGUAGUUUAACCUUCGGGGGG
rnacentral:rRNA from 1 species